rnacentral:rRNA from 1 species
CCCUUAGAUGUUCUGGGCCGCACGCGCGCUACACUGAUGAACGCAACGAGACCACCUGUACCGAAAGGCAUGGGUAAACUUGUGAAAGUUCAUCGUGAUGGGGAUAGAUUAUUGCAAUUAUUAAUCUUCAACGAGGAAUUCCUAGUAAGCGCGAGUCAUCAGCUCGCGUUGAUUACGUCCCUGCCCUUUGUACACACCGCCCGUCGCUCCUACCGAUUGAAUGGUCCGGUGAAAUCUUCGGAUUGCUGGAUAGGACUUCAUUGACCUAUCUGCGAGAAGUUGCUUGAACCUUNUNAUUUACNGGAAGGAGAANUCGUANCA